UGCUGUGAUGGUGUAAUUUGCGUCCUACUUGGUGCGUAGCGACAGUUGCCUGCUGUCACAUGCUUGCGCCAAAGGUUGACGAACAUUUAUUCUGAGCU